UCUCUAUAAUUUUUAAUAUAUAUUUAUUAAUUAAUUAUCCUAAUAUCAUGACAAAUAGAUAUAUUAACAUAUAGUUUUAAAUAAUAAUAUUAUACUAAUGACUUAUCCUAUAAUUGUUGAAAAUAUGAUAAAUCAGAAAAAUUACAUUUUAAAUAAUAGCAUAGAUUUGUUAACAAUUCUCUUAAUGAUUUAUGGUUUUAAAUCAAGUUAUCUUAUCUUUAGAGACUAGAUAAAAGAUUCUCUCCGCCUUCUCUCUAGCUAGUUCUUUUGGUUGCUUCCGUCGCUUCUCCGUUUACCCGACUCCGGCUGCUCACUUAGAGCUGGGGUUGGAAUCUGUCUCUCUUUGUCUUCCAUGCUCUCUUUUUGGAUCUUAUUCUCUCAACGGGUUUGACUUCAUUCUAGAACUCGAUCUAGCGUUUUGUCAUUUCUGGAGAGAAUAACAGAGUUUGUUGAGCAUCUGAUGCAUGCAUUAACUAGUCAACCUUGCUGUCACCUUCUCUUCACUCAGAUCCGCUUUUGUUUCGAAUCUACUUCCUUCUGGUUUCUCAAGUCAGUUUCUUACCGUCAUAGCCGUCUCCGGUUGAAGACUUCCGUUCACGAAGUGAGUAUGUCUUGCUGGUGUUUGAAGCUUUGUUCUUAAAUUGUCUGGGCUAUUCACUAUAGGAGGAUUCGCAUGUCGUGGGUUCGGCCAAGAUUGCUUCUGCGAUUUGUCUUUGUUCAAAGGUGUUUCGUUGAUGUCUCGCAUGUUUGUUUCUUUGAAGUUUAUGGAUUUCAUUUGAUAUGUU